GCCAUUGGCAGUGGUGCGUGCCUGUAGUACCAGCUACUCGGGAGGCUGAGGUGGGAAGAUACCUUGAGUCCAGGAGUUCUGGGCUGUAGUGCGCUAUGCCAAUCUAGUGUCUGGACUAAGUUCGGCAUCAAUAUGGUGACCUCCCAGGAGCGUGGGACCACCAGGUUGCCUAAGGAGGGGUGAACCGGCCCAGGUUGAAAACGGAGCAGGUCAAAACUCCCGUGCUGAUCAGUAGUGGGAUCGCACCUGUGAAUAGCCAUGGCACUCUAGCCCGGGCAAUGUAAUGAGACCCAGCUCUA
rnacentral:SRP_RNA from 13 species